UGAUGUUCUGGAAUGUCCGCAUGCACCGAUUUCAUCAGGGACAGAGGCGCUCUUUGAUGAAGCAUCUGCAAAACGCGUUCAUCAGGUUGGACAAAGAAAAGUAACAGGACUUAAGUGGUGCAUCUGGACAGAAGAGUUCCUACAGUGAACCACCUGAGCUAAUCUGGUACAAGCUCCAUUCUCAGAUUCCCUCGGAAACAAUGGGGAAAAUACAUUAUGCUGGAUCUCCGUGCCUCUGGUCCAACCAGUAAUGAUGCUGAAGAUAUGUUUCAGUUUCCCUAUCGGCAAAUCAGGUUGCGGUUGAAAAACUAUUAAGAAUAGCACAACCCAUUACUAAGUCUGAAGACUGCACAUGGAACUCACACAUAGUAUGGGAAGAUGAACAUGAGAGAGACAGCAGCACCAUGUGACAGGUAAGUCCUCUUAACAAAUAUGUUUGUUUAGGAAUCUGUUUGAGCUGUGUUACCAUCAGGAGAAAUUCUCCCUUUCAAAAGCAGUAUUUCAAUAGCAAUAGCGGCAGGAAGAGCAACAAUGAUUAGAAAGCAAUUUAAAGAACCUAGUGGGGCAGAAAAUGUGCUUGCCACAGCCACACAAAGCAAAUGUAGUUUCAGUUGACUGGCAAAGAGGCAGCCAAGCAUCAGUAGAAACAAGAAAUCCCUAUUGUCCGGAAGGUAUCAAAUUCCCUGGAAGAAAAUUGCUUUUCUACCUAGUAUCUCUGAAAUAAGAAUAUAAUUACACAUGUAAUGCAGGAGCUCUGCAACUACCUCUCAGAACUCAAAAGCUUGUCAUAUAUGA